rnacentral:lncRNA from 1 species
UCCGAAUGUUGGAUCCCAUCGCUAGAUGGUUACAUCAAUUGGUAUAGAAAAUAAUUUUUAUGCUAUCAAUUUAGGUUUGAACCUAUGGGAUUAUACAUAUUGAAAGAUACGGAUGGAUCUUAUGGCUGAAGAGUCCAUUUGGAUUGUGACUCUAAUGAGGAGUACCACUGGAACUAGGAUUUUGAAGGAGAGUGCCACUGGAUUGAGAUGCUACUAUUAAUA